rnacentral:rRNA from 1 species
UACGUAGGGCGCAAGCGUUGUCCGGAAUUACUGGGCGUAAAGGGCUCGUAGGCGGCCAACUAAGUCGGAUGUGAAAUCCCCAGGCUCAACCCGGGAACUGCGUCCGAUACUGGGAGGCUUGAAUCCGGGAGAGGGAUGUGGAAUUCCAGGUGUAGCGGUGAAAUGCGUAGAUAUCUGGAGGAACACCGGUGGCGAAGGCGGCAUCCUGGACCGGUAUUGACGCUGAGGCGCGAAAGCUAGGGGAGCAAACGGG